rnacentral:rRNA from 1 species
AGUGAACGCUGGCGGUAGGCCUAACACAUGCAAGUCGAACGGCAGCACAGUAAGAGCUUGCUCUUACGGGUGGCGAGUGGCGGACGGGUGAGGAAUACAUCGGAAUCUACUUUUUCGUGGGGGAUAAUGUAGGGAAACUUACGCUAAUGCCGCAUACGACCUACGGGUGAAAGCAGGGGAUCUUCGGACCUUGCGCGAUUGAAUGAGCCGAUGUCGGAUUAGCUAGUUGGCGGGGUAAAGGCCCACCAAGGCGACGAUCCGUAGCUGGUCUGAGAGGAUGAUCAGCCACACUGGAACUGAGACACGGUCCAGACUCCUACGGGAGGCGGCAGUGGGGAAUAUUGGACAAUGGGCGCAAGCCUGAUCCAGCCAUGCCGCGUGGGUGAAGAAGGCCUUCGGGUUGUAAAGCCCUUUUGUUGGGAAAGAAAAGCAGCAGGUUAAUACCCCGCUGUUCUGACGGUACCCAAAGAAUAAGCACCGGCUAACUUCGUG